UGAUUGGAACCCUCAACCAGGGUUGUAUUGAUUUUUUAGUACUAUACGACAACAACGAGGUGGUACUACUGCAGCUCCAGUACCUUCACCGCCAUAUUUGUUUCCCCCAGGCAGAGCAUCGUGACUGCGGAAAGUGAAUUUUUCUUAAAAAGGUUCUUUCAACAACAACAAUAACAUCAUCAUCAUCAUCAUCAUCAUCAUCAUCCUCGGUUAGCAAAGAAAACAAAUUAAAAAAAAAAAAUAAAUAAAGGAGUCAUCAUUUAACGUGCGAUUCGUAUUGAAUUUUUGAGAAUGAAAAAGAAGAAAAAGAAAAUAAAAUAACACACAGGACAGUGGAUCGUUGUUCGAUCGAUCGUUAAAGACUUCGUGUCUAUUUUUAACUAACGCACGUGGGGAACACGAAACGUCACGGAAUGUGAAUUUCCAUUCGCGUGUUAUUUCAUUUUUAUUAUUAUUUAUAUUAUUAUUAUUAUUUUUUAUUCAAUUCCUGAUAGGGGGAAAGAGAGAAAAUUAUUACGAGGACAACAAAAAAUACGAUAACGAUAACUAUGACUAUGACGUCGAAGAGAAAAAAAAAGAAGGGGGUGAAAUAAAUUGAUUGAAAAUCUUUUACUAGCGUAAACCAAGGUGGUGGUGGUGGUGGUGGUGGUGGUGGCUUUCGUUGAAGAUCGUCGAUCAAGAUAAGCUUAUUUUUAUUUACCCUGACGUUUAGUUGGCUUUCGUUACAUAAACGUGUCUCUCGGAUGUAUUAACAAGUUAAUUACUGUGAUAUAGUUUGCUAGAUAA